GCCUGGGUGGCUCAGUUGGUUGAGCAUCUGACUUCAGCUCAGGUUAUGAUCUUAUGGUUUGUGAGUUUGAGCCCCGCGUCGGGCU
rnacentral:tRNA from 1 species